GUGUGGUAGGGUGCGGGCGGAGAGGCCUUGCCGCACAAAGAAUCCCACGCCUCCGCCCCGCGAGCGCAGUCGCCUCGGCCGCGCCACGUGACGCAGUCGAUAGCCGGCUACUCGCGGAGCGCGGCCCUCCUCGCCGUCAUGCAACCACGUCUCAUUUAUCGCCACCACGUCUGCUAAAGAGUUGUGUAUAGUCACAGUCAGUUCGUCGUGUCCAGUACCAAGAGAACCUGCAUUAAACAGACCAACCUUAAAGUAAUUUGUUUUAAUCAUAACUAGUUAUAUAUGAUAAGAAGUGCCAAUGCAAGGAAUACGAAGGAAAUGUGAAGGGAUAAAGGCAAACACCGAGUACACAACGAGGUUUGCAGCCAGCAGCCUGAACCCGAGGCCAUUCCACCCGCCCCACCGAUGCUCCACUGCCUCUUUAUGUGUCUGACUAAUAGAGUGAUCAUAAAUUUAAGAUUAUCCAUAACAGCACUGAGGCAACAGAGCAUGACCAUUAGAUAACACGAACACAUACAGAAGAAAAUAAUAUAACAGAAGAAUAGUUUACAAAGUGGAGCGAACUGGUUCCUCUCCAAAAAUAUUAAUCAGGUCGUUUGCGCAUCUGAUUCUAGAAGCCGGUUUGCCUUCGGCUUGGCGUACAAACACACGACCAUCUUUUGUCCAUACGAAUCGCCACGAAAACCGCUUACACAGAUCUCUUGCUUUACCAAACAGUUGCCUAUUUAGCUUUGUAAGUCUCUCAUUUAAGUAGAACCUCUUUGGUUCUCCUUCGAGGCCCAUGUCGGCUGUGGUGAGGCCGCGGCGCACGCGCAUGGCGCGCAGCAGCUCGUCCCGGGUGGCGCGGCGCGCGAGGCGCACGACGAGGGGCCGCGCGCGCGCCGCCGCCGCCGCGCCCUCCGCCGCUCCCGCUGCAGGCCGCAGCGCGCCCACCCGCACGGCGCUCACGAUGUCGCGCUCGUCGACGGUCAUGCCCAGCUUCAACGCAAUCACUGACACGAGAUGGAUUGGGUUCUCGGAUUUAGUCUCGGGUAUGUGAGAUAUUUGGAUGUCAUUACCCAGUAAAUCUUGAUCGCGAUCGUGCAAUUCCAUUUUUAAAUCCUCUAUGGCUUGCUCGAGGCUUUCUAUCGCAGGAGAUUUAUUGCUGGAGUAAUUGGUCUCCAUGGCUUCCACUCUCUUUUCCAUGUCCUCCAGUCGUUUAUUGCAUGCAAAGAUCGCGGCCUUGAAGCUAGAGAUUUCUUCUCUUAAUUCCUUAAAUUCGCCGCUCACUCCCCGUAUCUCGUUACUGCAAUGCGUUUUGAGAGAUCCCAGUUCCUCUCUGAACGAUCUUAUCUCCAGCGCAAGGUCAACGUGGAACUCUAAAGUUGCAUUAUUUGCCGUGCUAUUCAUUACAGCCUCAUCUCCCGCCUCGCCAUGAGCACCUGUUAUAAUCUCG